CUGAGUUCUCCCACCGCAGAAAGAACUAGAAGAGAGUUCUUGAGGAACAGAGGGAUCAUCAAAGAUUCAGAAUGGUUCUACAGGAUUCUCCUGAGUUUAUCAACCUACGCACCUAGAACCUUUUGAAUUCUGGUUGCAUUCAAGGUAACGACUGACUUGUGUUUUGUGUGCUAGUGAGUAAUCAGAUUGUCAAUAGCCAGGGAAUGGUCAUUCUUACUUAAAUC
rnacentral:lncRNA from 1 species